UCCAGCCCCUGGGCACUUGCUCACAGAAUGCCACAGCUUAAAAUCAUUAUAAAGAUAGCAUUAAGACAAUUAAACAAAUUACUUGGAAUCAAGAGUACUUAAAAUCUAUCUUUAACCUGAAUAAAAGGUACCAGAGGACAACCUCAGAAAUUGAGGGAAAUUACAGAAAAGUGUUACAACAUGAGUAUAACAAAACAAGCCAAAGGAGAGAGAAGAGAAAAAAAAAAAAAAAAGCUAAGGAUGCUAUUAAUCCAAAAUAUGCACGGAACUUAAAGCUGACAGUUUCUAGUAUAAUAGUAAUUCCAUAAUGACCAUACAGCAAAUAGCAUAACCAAGUAAAGAUGUUCUCUAUCA